GGCCUGCUAGCUCAGUCGGUUAGAGCACCGUCGUGCUAAUAACGCGAAGGUCGUAGGUUCGAUCCCCCCUGCGCAGGCCA